rnacentral:rRNA from 1 species
AAAUUGAAGAGUUUGAUCAUGGCUCAGAUUGAACGCUGGCGGCAGGCCUAACACAUGCAAGUCGAACGGUAACAGGAAGCAGCUUGCUGCUUCGCUGACGAGUGGCGGACGGGUGAGUAAUGUCUGGGAAACUGCCUGAUGGAGGGGGAUAACUACUGGAAACGGUAGCUAAUACCGCAUAAUGUCGCAAGACCAAAGAGGGGGACCUUCGGGCCUCUUGCCAUCGGAUGUGCCCAGAUGGGAUUAGCUAGUAGGUGGGGUAACGGCUCACCUAGGCGACGAUCC